rnacentral:rRNA from 2 species
UGAGACCUUGAGUCUCCUGAAGGAACGUUGAAGACGACGACGUUGAUAGGUCGGGUGUGUAAGCGCAGCGAUGCGUUGAGCUAACCGAUACUAAUGAACCGUGAGGCUUAACCUU